GUGCUUGCUUCAGCAGUACAUAUACUAAAAUUGGAACAAUAUAGAGAAGAUUAACAUGGCCCCUGUGCAAAGAUGACACGCAAAUGUGUGAAGUGUUCCAUAUUUUU
ensembl:snRNA U6 U6 spliceosomal RNA